GGGGCUGUACCUGCAUAUCGCGUUCGCACACCAGUUUCUCCACCCCUGCCCUCGCUAACCCCCAUCGUCGCCUUCCCGUCGCUCACGUAUUUCGCCGAGAAGGUGCUUUCCUCUGGACGAUGAGCUCCAGGUAUUCAGGGAAGUCCGGGCAAGUGAUGUGGUGCUGCAAAAAUGUCGUCCUUGCUACUCACUUCACGCGAAUAACAUAGCUACAAGCGACAGUUCUAUAGGUGCCCAAGGUGAAAACACGAAAUGAACAACUGCGACUUCUUCAUGUGGGCAGAAAACCCUCGGAUUCUACGUUGUCCCAAUCAGACAACGUUGCAUGGGAUUCGUCGGUGUCACAAUCGGAGAUCAUUACAUGUGGGUCUAGUGCUUCCCAACCGCAUAAUGUUGCUCGGGAUUUGAUCGGCACCAACCGAGCAACAGUUCUCAUGAGAUGUUACUGUUACAUUUUAAAUUGAAUGUUAUAGUCAUAUUAUCAAUUGUAGUUUCAAUAUGUAUUUUUGUUUUAAUUUAAUAUCUUGAACUCUAUUUUAAGUGAAGUGGUUUGCAAAAUUUUGUAUUGUUAUGAAAUUAUAAAC